rnacentral:rRNA from 1 species
AGGUCUAANCUGCCCAAUGAGGAAUUAAAUGGCCGCAGUAUUUUGACUGUGCAAAGGUAGCAUAAUUAUUAGUUUUUUAAUUGAAAGCUUGUAUGAAGGGUUGGACGAGAUAAAAUCUGUCUUUAUUUAAAUUACAAUAGAAUUUAACUUUUAAGUCAAAAGGCUUAAAUGUAUAUAAAAGACGAGAAGACCCUAUAGAUCUUUAUUUAAUUAAUAUUUUGAUAAUUUAAGAUUAUUUUAGUUUAAAGUUUUAAUUAAAUUUUAUUGGGGUAAUAUAAAGAUUAAAUAAAUUCUUUUUAUUUAUUACAUUGAUUUAUGAAUAUAUGAUCCAAUAUUAUUGAUUAUAAGAUUAAGUUACCUUAGGGAUAACAGCGUAAUUUUUUUGGAGAGCUCAUAUCGAUAAAAAAGUUUGCGACCUCGAUGUUGGAUUAAAAAUUAGCUUGGGUGCAGAAGCUCAAGAUUUUGGUCUGUUCGACCAUUAAAUUUUUACAUGAUCUGAGUUCAGACCGGCGUAAGCCAGGUCGGUUUCUAUCUUUAUUUAUCUAAAAUAUUUUAGUACGAAAGGACCAAAUAUUUAAUAUAAUUAUAUUUAUUUUUUGAAUAAUAUU